AGAGCCUGGGCCUGCUCUGACCCUCCCUGCACUCAGGGACAGGCAGGGACAGGCAGGGACAGGCAGGGACACUCAGGGACACUCAGGGACAGCCAGGGACACUCAGGGACAGGCAGGGAUACCCAGGGACAGCCAGGGAUACCCAGGGACACUCAGGGACAGACAGGGACAGACAGGGACAGGCAGGGAUACCCAGGGACAGGCAGGGACAGACAUGGACAGACAGGGACAGGCAGGGACAGGCAGGGACAGACAGGGAUACCCAGGGACACCCAGGGACAGGCAGGGACAGGCAGGGACAGGCAGGGAUACCCAGGGACAGACAGGGACAGGCAGGGACAGACAGGGACAGGCAGGGACACUCAGGGACAGACAGGGACAAGUAGGGACAUUCAGGGACAGGCAAGGAUAGACAGAGACACUCAGGGGACACCCAAGGAUAGACAGGGACAGACAGAGACACUCAGGGAUACCCAGGGACAGCCAAGGGUAGAUAGGGACACUCGGGGAUACCUAGGGACAGAGAGGGACACUCAGGGACACCCAGGACAGUCAGGGACACCAGGGACAGCCAGGGACAGCCAGGGACAGACAGGGACACUCAGGGACACUCAGGAACAGACAGGGACAGACAAGGACAGACAAAGACAGACAGGGACACUCAGGGACACUCAGGGACAGCCAGGGACACUCAGGGACAGGAGGGACAGGCAGGGACAGGCAGGGAUACACAGGGACAGACAGGGACAGGCAGGGACACUCAGGGACAGGCAGGGACAGGCAGGGACAGGCAGGGAUACCCAGGGACACUCAGGGACAGACAGGGACACUCAGGGAUACCCAGGGACAGGCAGGGACACCCAGGGACACUCAGGGCUGAGGUCCCUCUCAGCUGGGGCUCCUCUCCAGGCAGAACAGCCCCAGCUCCCUCAGCCUUUCCUGGGCACAGAGAUGCUCCAGGCCUUGCUCCGCGUCCCUCCCGUGCUGAGGAGCCCAGAGCUGGACACAGCACUGUGAUGUGACCUCAAAACUUUGGGAAUUUCCAUCUUCAAGCUGAUCCUUCACUUUUUUUCCCCACCCAAUGACAGAUUUGCUCAGGACAGACCUGCAAAGCCUGGGCAGUGGUCUGUGUCAGUGACUUGCCAAGGCAGGCACUGCCUGGUUCUGCAGCAUGCCAAGGAACCCACCUG
rnacentral:lncRNA from 12 species